rnacentral:rRNA from 1 species
GAUGAACGCUGGCGGCGUGCCUAAUACAUGCAAGUCGAGCGAACAGACGAGGAGCUUGCUCCUCUGACGUUAGCGGCGGACGGGUGAGUAACACGUGGAUAACCUACCUAUAAGACUGGGAUAACUUCGGGAAACCGGAGCUAAUACCGGAUAAUAUAUUGAACCGCAUGGUUCAAUAGUGAAAGACGGUUUUGCUGUCACUUAUAGAUGGAUCCGCGCCGCAUUAGCUAGUUGGUAAGGUAACGGCUUACCAAGGCAACGAUGCGUAGCCGACCUGAGAGGGACAUCGGCCAGCCGGGAACUGAGGAACGGUCCAGACUCCGACGGGAGGAAGCAGUAGGGAAUCUUCCGCAAUGGGCGAAAGCCUGACGGAGCAACACCGCGUGAGUGAUGAAGGUCUUCGGAUCGUAAAACUCUGUUAUUAGGGAAGAACAAAUGUGUAAGUACCUAUGCACGUCUUGACGGUACCUAAUCAGAAAGCCACGGCUAACUACGUG